AUUGAACGCUGGCGGCAUGCCUUACACAUGCAAGUCGAACGGCAGCACGGGAGCAAUCCUGGUGGCGAGUGGCGAACGGGUGAGUAAUAUAUCGGAACGUGCCCAAUCGUGGGGGAUAACGUAGCGAAAGCUACGCUAAUACCGCAUACGAUCUAUGGAUGAAAGCGGGGGAUCGCAAGACCUCGCGCGAUUGGAGCGGCCGAUAUCAGAUUAGGUAGUUGGUGAGGUAAAGGCUCACCAAGCCGACGAUCUGUAGCUGGUCUGAGAGGACGACCAGCCACACUGGGACUGAGACACGGCCCAGACUCCUACGGGAGGCAGCAGUGGGGAAUUUUUGGACAAUGGGCGCAAGCCUGAUCCAGCAAUGCCGCGUGCAGGAUGAA
rnacentral:rRNA from 1 species